UGGCUUGGUUAUGUUUUAAUAAAUAAUACUGAUCACUAAUUAAAACAAACAUGAUAAUCAAAGAAAUAUGUAGGUGGAAGCGAUACUACAAUGUUUAGAGAAGAACAUACAGAUGUUAAUUUUCUGAUCUCAGUAUAACAUGUGCAAUUGUACUUGCUUCUAUUUUUAAUUGUUUUAUAGAGCUCCAACUUGAUGCCACAGUUUAUCUGUCAUGGAAAAAGUGAACUUUCAAUAAUAGUUAAAAUACUGUGAGCUAUCAUAAAGACAGGACAAUAAGAUCUUAAGUCUUAAAGUCUAGACCAUAAAACAUAUUUGCACAUAAUUUUCACACAAUUGCAAGUACCAUUAAAUAUACAUUGUUCUUGGGCAAAUUGUCUUUCAGACCUUUUUUUAGAUGCUUUUUCAUGCAUUUAAAAAUGUAAUUCCUGUAAUGUCCUUCUCUUUAUAAAGUCAUGAGAAAAUCUUCAUAUUGUUUUACACUUCAAGUCAAGUCAAGGUAGUUCAAGCAAAACAGGACAAAAAAGUAUUAACAUUUUUGGGGAUAACACUUUUAACACUGUAAUAAGUAACCUUUCUGAAAUGAUGUUAAAACUCAAACUUAUACAAUUAUGUAACAUAAAUAAUGUAAUUUACAUGGACAGUCCAGUUACAUUGCCAACACUGAUGUUACAUCAGGAAUUGUAGUCAUAAAAUUUUCAAGCACAAUUAUCGUACUCGUCCUCAGAAAUCAACCAAUCAAAUUAUUGAACUUCGUAUUUCGAGCACAAAAUUACGCAGGAAAGUUUUAUGAAUGAGAGCCCUGAAUUGUUGUCCAUAGUAAUGAUAAGACACUACAGACACAUAUAUGUCAUAUUUCCAAAAAGACACAGGUGCAAUUUGUCUCAGUUCAAUAAUGCUGCACAAAAGGAACGACUGUCAUAUCAUGCAAUCAUGUAACCCAAAAAAUAUUGGUGAAACAAUACAAACAAUAAUCUUUUAUGAAUAUGUUUUUCAAAUUAUCAAAUAAUAAAUAAACAUUACACUAACUAACUCUUAAUAAUAAAUAAUUGAUAAAUAAUUAAGUUAUAUACAUUUUAAAGUACACACAUAUUGUGGAUUAUAAAUAUAAAUUAAGUCUUUUUUUAAAUCAACGAUCACAGACAAAACUUUCCAAAUUCCGAUGACAGAAUAAGAAAUCACAGUAAUAAAUCGUAAAAUUGGUAUUUUAUAAGAAACAGUUGUAAUGAUAAAUACUUAAAACAACCAAUCAUACAAUUUUAUAUUAAUCAUAAUAAAAUAUACUCUAAUUUAAGACUUUGUGAACUUUCCUUAUUACUCUUUAUAGUCAUCCGUUGAACCAAUAACAUUUGUUUUAAUAAUUUGCCAAGUGAAUACUGGUAAAUUAAAAUCAUAUUUUACUCUUAAGGUGGUACCCAACACUUUCACUAAAAUAAAUUUGGCUCGUUUAAUUUUCAUAAAAUUUUGUCAAAGUAUUUACUUGACACUUAAAGAAAAAUAUAAAAAUUUGAACCAACCAUUUUGUCAGAAAAAUUACACUGGUUAUAUAGCAAUUUGACAAACACCAAUUUUGAUCAUUGAGAAGCUUAAUAUUCCUUUUACAACACAACGUAAUUAAAACGUUAAGCUGACUUUACAGAGUUAUCUCCCUGUAGUGUUAGGUACCACCUUAAUUUACUUGGAUGUUUUUCUUACUACAUGUCUACUUUUUAAUUUUCAUUCCCUCUCUUCCAUCAGCAAGAGGAAAAGAUAUUAAUAGGGUAAUUUUAAAAGAAACAAAAUGUAAGCAACUCACAGAGAUAGAUAAAUACAUGAAAAGUAACAAAUGGGGUGAUGUUUACCAUGACAUGGAUCGGUCUAAGAAACUAGUUUCUACGUCAUAUUCAGGCUAAGUGUAAUUUGUGUUAAUAAUGAAAUGAAUGAGCCUAAAAAGUUUCUACAACAAACUUCUAAAAAAGCAGGGUAUUAAGGAAUUUAUACCUUAUCUGAUCAUAUGAUCCAGGACAUCAAAUCCAAAUCUAUAAAUAACCCCUUCACUCCCAAACACUUCAGAUUACCCUUGCAAACUUAAGAUAAAGUAUGCAAUUAGUAUACUUUGAUAAAACGUUUUUAUAUGAAUCA
rnacentral:lncRNA from 1 species